rnacentral:rRNA from 1 species
UACAGAGGUCUCAAGCGUUGUUCGGAUUUAUUGGGCGUAAAGCGUGCGUAGGCGGCGGGGUAAGUGAGGUGUGAAAUCCCGGAGCUUAACUCCGGAACUGCACUUUAUACUGCCUUGCUCGAGGGCUGGAAAGGAGACUGGAAUUUACGGUGUAGCAGUGAAAUGCGUAGAGAUCGUAAGGAAGACCAGUGGCGAAGGCGAGUCUCUGGAAAGCUGCUGACGCUGAGGCACGAAGGCCAGGGGAGCAAACGGG